rnacentral:rRNA from 1 species
GCUAAGGAGUGUGUAACAACUCACCUGCCGAAUGAAUCAGCCCUGAAAAUGGAUGGCGCUUAAGCGGGCGACCGACACCAUGCCGUCUGUACAAGAUUUCAUGUUACAGAUGAGUAGGAGGACGUGGUGAUUGUGUCGAAGCAUGCGUGCGAACGCGUGUGGAACGGUCACUAGUGCAGAUCUUGGUGGUAGUAGCAAAUAUUCAAGCGAGAUCCUUGAAGGGCGAAGCGGGGAAGGGUUCCACGCGAACAUUGAUUGGGCGUGGGUGAGUCGUUCCUAAGCCGAGUGGCAAUUGCUAAGUAGCGGCGAAAGGGAAGCAGGUUGAUAUUCCUGCACAUGGAUGUGGAGGCGGCGACGCUUUAAUGAGGGCGAACACGCUGGCGAUGGCGCUGGGCAGAGAUUUCUUUUCUGUUUGACCGCUGAACCGAGCGGUGUGGAAUCCGCUUGUCGGGAGAAACACGCUCGAUCGGGCAGAGCGCCGGGUCUAACACGGCGUCCAGCUCGCCAUCGACGGCCCUUGAAAAUUUGCCUGCUGGAAUAGUUUAUUCUAUCUAAGAUCCACGCCAUGGCGUACCGAUAACCGCAUCAGGUCCCCAAGGUGAACAGCCUCUGCUCUAUAUGAAUAAUGCAGGUAAGGGAAGUCGGCAAAUUGGACCCGUAACUUUGGGAAAAGGGUUGGCUCUAGUGCUGCGUGGGAGUAGUUGUCGCGUGUGGGCGUUUUCGGACUUGCUGAGCGCGUGCGAGAAUUCGGUUUCGGCCGCUUUUCUUGUGUUCAAUCGGCGAGUCUGCAUCCGCCUCCCUCGACGACGCCCACAGCAUGCAGCAGACUAGAACUGCAACGGGCAAAGGGA